rnacentral:snRNA from 1 species
AUUGCUUCUCAAAGUCAGCUUUGAUGAAGUGUAGUAUCUGUUCUAGAAAGUUUAAUAGCUUUCUGUUACACCAUAGUGUAACAAACUAUAGAUAAUUUAUUUUCAGAGGAGGUAUUUAUGACAUUGAGAAUAUGACUUGUCUAUUCGUCAAAAUUACCAAAUUGCAUUUACUCUGUAUUGCACUACUAUCAGAGUACAAAUAGUGCUCCUCUU